UAGAAUGAGCUAUUAACAAUAGCUGUUGUUUUUACCAUUCCUACUAUCGGUGGUUUAAAGUUACCUAAAAGCAGUAACGCAGCAGUGUUUCCAACAUGUGCCUGGUGACAGAUGGGUGCUCAGAAGAAUGGCCGUGCUGUGGCAAGGCCGCACGUGUCCUCAGCCCCGCCGUGGUCCUGACGCGGGUCAGUAUACAGAAGGCAUUCCCAGUUAGUAGCGGGCUGCUGCUUCCUGAGCCAGAGGCUCUAUGUCCAUCUCUGAAUAAAACCUCAUCCAUAAAGUGGCUUAACAAUGCUUUUGCAGGGAGGAUUCUACAGCAUCCUGUGACAGGACUUCCAGUAUUUACCUGUACAGUACAGGAGUUAUUUAAGUUUAAGCUUAACCAGAACAGCAUGCUUCUGAAGACAAGGCUGCUGGGGAGCGGCAGUGGCUGACGGGUGGCGCAUCCUGUGGUCUGCAUGGCUGGGACCGCAGAUGGGAGAAAGUCCUGAGGCUGUUGUAAAGAAAGGAGCCUGUCAUUCACCAUCACUCUUCUUGUUUUACGCCAGACUAACUCUUCCAAUGAAAGCUUUGGCUAUGUAAAGAAUAAAAGAUUACUCUUAUCCUUGGUACUUUUUUCA
rnacentral:lncRNA from 1 species